GCUUGGGUGGCUCAGUUGGUUGAGCAUCUGACUCUUGGUUUUGGCUCAGGUCAUGAUCUCACAGUUUGUGAGUUCAAGCCCCACAUCAGGCU
rnacentral:tRNA from 1 species